rnacentral:tRNA from 1 species
GUCUCCGUGGCGCAAUCGGCUAGCGCGUUCGGCUGUUAACCGAAAGGUUGCUGGUUCGAGCCCACCCGGCAACG